rnacentral:rRNA from 1 species
CCUACGGGAGGCAGCAGUGGGGAAUAUUGGACAAUGGGGGCAACCCUGAUCCAGCCAUGCCGCGUGAGUGAUGAAGGCCUUAGGGUUGUAAAGCUCUUUUACCCGGGACGAUAAUGACUGUACCGGGAGAAUAAGCCCCGGCUAACUUCGUGCCAGCAGCCGCGGUAAUACGAAGGGGGCUAGCGUUGCUCGGAAUCACUGGGCGUAAAGCGCACGUAGGCGGACCCUUAAGUCAGAGGUGAAAUCCCAAGGCUCAACCUUGGAACGGCCUUUGAUACUGGGGAUCUCGAGUCCGGAAGAGGUUGGUGGAACUGCGAGUGUAGAGGUGAAAUUCGUAGAUAUUCGCAAGAACACCAGUGGCGAAGGCGGCCAACUGGUCCGGCACUGACGCUGAGGUGCGAAAGCGUGGGGAGCAGACAGGAUUAGAUACCCUGGUAGUCCACGCCGUAAACGAUGGAUGCCAGCCGUUGGACAGCUUGCUGUUCAGUGGCGCAGGUAACCCUAUGAGCAUCCCGCCUGGGGAGUACGGUCGCAAGAUUAAAACUCAAAUGAAUUGACGG